rnacentral:tRNA from 1 species
GAGGGUAUAGCUCUAGUGGUAGAGCACAUGCUUAGCAUGCACAAGUCCUGGGUUCGAUCCCCUGUACCUCCU